GACGACGCUGGCGGCGUGCUUAAUACAUGCAAGUCGAACGGAGCCUAGCCGGUAGUUUACUACUGGCGAAAGCUUAGUGGCGGACGGGUGAGUAACGCGUGGGCAAUCUGCCCCUAAGUCCGGGAUAACAGAGCGAAAGUUCUGCUAAGACCGGAUACUCUUCCUUGGUCGCAUGGCGGAGGAAGGAAAGGAUACGCUUAGGGAUGAGCCCGCGUCCCAUUAGCUAGUUGGUGAGGUAACGGCCCACCAAGGCGACGAUGGGUAGCCGGCCUGAGAGGGUGGACGGCCACACUGGGACUGAGACACGGCCCAGACUCCUACGGGAGGCAGCAGUAGGGAAUUUUCCGCAAUGGGCGAAAGCCUGACGGAGCAACGCCGCGUGAGGGAAGAAGGUCUUCGGAUCGUAAACCUUUGUCAUCGAGGACGAAAACUGACGGUACUCGAGGAGGAAGCCCCGGCUAACUACGUG
rnacentral:rRNA from 1 species